GUGAUUAUUGAAAGUUCUCCACGCUGAUUGGUUGCCGUUGAGGUGAUUAUUACGCGAUAAUCACCUAAGCGAUUUUCAAAAUGGCGGCCGAAGCCAUUUUGUCAAUUAAAUGACAAUGAAAUGUGUAUUUUCUUAUUUUUUUCCAAAUAAUCACCUACGAAAUUAUACUAAAACAAUUAUUCACCUCAGGCUCGGUGAUUGUCGUGAAUAAAAACCUCGACUUCGUCUCGGUUUUUAUUCACCGAUAAUCACCUCGCCUUCAGCGAAUAAUUGUUAAGUAAUAGGCAAAAAAAGACUAAAAUAGUUAAAGAUUCAAUAAAAU